GCUUAGGGUCGGGCCUGGUUAGUACUUGGAUGGGAGACCGCCUGGGAAUACCAGGUGCUGUAAGCU
ensembl:rRNA 5S_rRNA 5S ribosomal RNA